rnacentral:rRNA from 1 species
AUUGAACGCUGGCGGCAUGCCUUACACAUGCAAGUCGAACGGUAACAGGUCUUCGGAUGCUGACGAGUGGCGAACGGGUGAGUAAUACAUCGGAACGUGCCUAGUAGUAGGGGAUAACUACUCGAAAGAGUGGCUAAUACCGCAUGAGAUCUACGGAUGAAAGCAGGGGAUCGCAAGACCUUGUGCUACUAGAGCGGCCGAUGGCAGAUUAGGUAGUUGGUGGGAUAAAAGCUUACCAAGCCGACGAUCUGUAGCUGGUCUGAGAGGACGAUCAGCCACACUGGGACUGAGACACGGCCCAGACUCCUACGGGAGGCAGCAGUGGGGAAUUUUGGACAAUGGGCGCAAGCCUGAUCCAGCAAUGCCGCGUGCAGGAUGAAGGCCUUCGGGUUGUAAACUGCUUUUGUACGGAACGAAAAGCCCCGGGUUAAUACCCUGGGCUAAUGACGGUACCGUAAGAAUAAGCACCGGCUAACUACGUGCCAGCCGCCGCAGUAA